GACGAACGCUGGCGGCGUGCUUAACACAUGCAAGUCGAACGAGAGGCGAACGGGUGAGUAAUACGUGAGUAACCUGCCCUCUUUUUGGGAUAAGCCUUGGAAACGGGGUCUAAUAACGGCAAACGGGGGAUGGGCUCGGGGCCUUUCAGCUUGUUGGUGGGGUGAUGGCCUACCAAGGCGGUGACGGGUAGCCGGCCUGAGAGGGUGACCGGGAACAGUGGGACUGUGAUGCGGCCCAGAGUCCUACGGGAGGCGGCAGAUGGGGCUAUUGGACAAAGGGCGAGAGCCUGAUGCAGCGACGCCGAGUGAGGGAUGAAGGCUUUCAGGUUGUAAAACUGUUUCGCUAUCGAACGGGUAGCUGGAGAAGAAGCACCGGCUAACUACGUGCCAGCAGCCGCGGUAAUAC
rnacentral:rRNA from 1 species